GCUGUUCAAGUUACUAUUGAAUUUUGUUGUUCAACAAUUAUGCUGUUCAUUAUUUCUACAAUCACACAGAAAGGAUGUUCACAGAAGAUCUUAAUGCUCUAUUUUUAAAGAUUAAAGCAGUAUGCAGCUUACAAGCAGGGAGCUGACUGUAGCCAAUUCUGAGCAUUCCUCAGCAGAGGGAGCACACAAUUAAUAAUAGAAAGGUGAUAGAAGCACAGUGGUGUAUGAAGGGAGCUGCGGGAUCACUCUGUCCCUGCAGUUACAGCAGGUUCCCACAGCAGCUCACACAGGAAUGUCUCCACAGAAGGGACCCCACAGCCUCUGGACAGCGUGUUCCUGAGCUCAGACACUACUAAGUUCAUCUUUGUAUGGUCACUCCUGUGUUGCAGUUGGAGCGCACACGUUGCUUUACCUCAGGCUGUUUAAUAACCAGUUAAAGCUGAACUGGAGAUGUGCGACUGCGGUAUGUCAGACGGCUGCUUUUGAAAACAAGAAUCAAGAAAAUAGGGACCCUUCAUGAAGAUUAAGCAUCCUAGGCCUUGGGUAAUGUCAGAACAAUAGGACUAGUGGGACAUGUCGACAUUACUAACACAGCUGGGAUAGCACAGCUGAGUCUAUAGUUAAGACAAUACAGCUAGAAGGGAAAGGUAGCCAAAGAAAUUGAUUUUGACUGAUUGAGUAGAGGAGCUGGGUCGAAGUAACCUGAGGAAGACUUCUGACUUCAUCGCAAUGACCACUGGAGUGAGACCCCCACUACGGACUGCGCACGCGUCAGUAGGAGGGACAGCAUGUAAAUGAGGUUCCAGAUAAACAAUGAAUAUGUUAAUGAUUUCUUGGAAAUUUGAUGAAUAUGUAUACACUUGCUCUAUAACUUUGUAACGCUCCUGCCUUUCGUGUGAUAGGAGGAGUGAUCCCCCAUGUGCCCAGCGCUGAA